rnacentral:rRNA from 1 species
GUGAGGAAUUUUCCGCAAUGGGCGAAAGCCUGACGGAGCAAUGCCGCGUGAAGGAUGAAGGCCUAUGGGUUGUAAACUUCUUUUCUCAGAAAAGAAUUAUGACGGUAUCUGAGGAAUAAGCAUCGGCUAACUCGGUGCCAGCAGCCGCGGUAAGACAGAGGAUGCAAGCGUUAUCCGGAAUGAUUGGGCGUAAAGCGUCUGUAGGUUGUUUAAAAAGUAUUCUGUCAAAGAUUAGGGCUUAACCCUAGAUAGGCAGAAUAAACUUUUAAGCUAGAGUUUGGUAGAGGCAGAGGGAAUUCCCGGUGGAGCGGUGAAAUGCGUAGAUAUCGGGAGGAACACCAAAGGCGAAGGCACUCUGCUGGGCCAAUACUAACACUGAGAGACGAAAGCGAGGGGAGCAAAUGGGAUUAGAAACCCUAGUAGUCC